GAUGAACGCUAGCUACAGGCUUAACACAUGCAAGUCGCGGGGCAGCAUGGUGGUUGCUUGCAAUCCCCGAUGGCGACCGGCGCACGGGUGAGUAACGCGUAUCCAACCUGCCCUUCACCACGGGAUAACCCGGCGAAAGUCGGACUAAUACCGUAUGUUGUCCAUUGACGGCAUCCGAUUUGGACGAAAGGUUUGGCGGUGAAGGAUGGGGAUGCGUCCGAUUAGCUGGACGGCGGGGUGACGGCCCACCGUGGCGACGAUCGGUAGGGGUUCUGAGAGGAAGGUCCCCCACACUGGAACUGAGACACGGUCCAGACUCCUACGGGAGGCAGCAGUGAGGAAUAUUGGUCAAUGGGCGUAAGCCUGAACCAGCCAAGUAGCGUGCAGGAUGACGGCCCUAUGGGUUGUAAACUGCUUUUAUGCGGGGAUAAAGUGGCCCACGUGUGGGUUUUUGCAGGUACCGCAUGAAUAAGGACCGGCUAAUUCCGUG
rnacentral:rRNA from 1 species